UACGGGGGGAGCAAGCGUUGUUCGGAUUUACUGGGCGUAAAGGGCGCGUAGGCGGCCACCGCAAGUCGACUGUGAAAUCUCCGGGCUUAACCCGGAAAGGUCAGCCGAUACUGCGGGGCUAGAGUGCAGAAGGGGCAACUGGAAUUCUCGGUGUAGCGGUGAAAUGCGUAGAGAUGUGGAGGAACACCGAUGGCGAAGGCAGCCUUCUGGGCCAACACUGACGCUCAUGCACGAAAGCGUGGGGAGCAAACAGG
rnacentral:rRNA from 1 species